UUGGAGACGAUAUAGUGAUUGUGGCGGCUUACCGGACUCCAAUUUCAAAAGCUAAGCGAGGAGGGUAUAAGGAUACUCCAGCUGAUGAUUUACUUGCAGUUGUUUUAAAGGUAAACAGCCCAUUGAUUUUGGCUUGUAAUACCAUUACUGUAUAUGAUUUUGUUCUGAUUUGGCUUAUAUACACAGGAUUAUUGAUUUUUUUUCUUUCUUAUAUGUGAUUAAUAUACAAUUUAGGACAUGAUAGUAAAAACAAAUCUGGACCCAAGUGAAGUUGGGGAUAUAGGUGUUGGUACUGUUUUGCCACCUGGUUCACAAAGAGCAACAGAGUGCAGAAUGGCAGCAAUCUAUGCUGGUUUUCCUGGAAAAGAAAAUCUCUAUUUCACCAUUGAAGAUCUGCCCCUACUUGCUUCUCUUCUGGUCAUCUUGAGUGUCUCUAGUCAUCUCUAAAGUUCUUGGUCAACUAUGUCUCAUAGUCUACUCUAUUGGAAGGGUUCUUAAAAGCUUGAGAAAUUGGUCUACCUGUGUUGUCUUCUUAUGUAACUGAAGUUGUUUCAUGAGUUUCAAAAGCUUGAUUCAUGAAUUGGAUUGCUUACUUCUUCAUGCAGAAAAUGGGAUCAAUGGCAGAUGAAUUGGAUCCACGUUGAACAAUCAUUGGUGAACACAGGAAAGGAAAG